CGCCCUUGGGUCGACAACAGCCGCGCGUACGCGCGAAUCAACCGUGCAAUGAACACGACGAUGAGCCGACCGCGAGAAUGAUAUUUGUUGUUGCGCCGCAAUCCGACGGUCUACGGGUGGCGUAUGUGCCCCGAAGCCACGCGGUAUUAUAUCCGCGCGAACGAUCGUCGGAUUCGACGGUACGCACGGCCUCGACCGUUUUUUUCGGACACGAGACCGAUUCCGCGCGGCACAUUAUAUUAUAUCGGACUAUUAUCAAGCACAAUAUGUCGAAUAUAAUAUAAUAUUAUUGCUUUUUUUUUUUUUUUUUUUUUAAAUUUGUUUAUUAUUAUUAUUUUUUUAUUGUCGUCGCUGCAUUGUCGUAGUUUCAACACGCUCCCAGAGUGGUUUCCGCGUUCCGCGAUCUUUUUGUGUCGUUUCGGUUUUCGGAGAGAACACAAUAAUAAUAAUAUUUUCCGUAUAUACAGGGUAAUCGUACGGUGCAAUACUCGAACUUUGCCAUUGACAAUAAACACGCGGAUUCGACGGGGACAUUUUUGUCGCGCUAUACCCGAACUAUUCCUAGACACAGACCCACUAGAAACAACAAUAGAUUUAUCAAUAAAUCGCUCGGGGAAGGCGACGAAAAAAUAUUAUUAUUUUUGAAUUAAAAAAAAAAAAAAAAAACCGUUCCUGCCCGUGUCUUAUACAAAUACACAAAACAAAAAUUUUGCGCUUUUCGUGUUAAAACGUUAAAACGAAAGUUUCAAGUCAAAAACAACAAUACUUUAUUGAGGGGAAAAACUUGGUAACAUUUUGUUUUAUUAUUAUUUUUUUUUUUGAAUUUUAGAACUUUAAUUUAAUUAUAAUUUCGUUUACAACGUGUUGUGUAUUGAUUCUAAUGAAUUACUAUUUUUAUUUUCAACGGUUUUAGCUCAAGACCUUAUUAUAGCGUUUAACUUACACGAUGUUUGCCCUUUGUGAUUUUGACUAAACGAUAUCGCGUUCGGACGGUAAGUCUUUGGUUUUCCCCCGUCAUUACACAAGAAUAUUUCUCACGAAAUACCGCUCGUACAGUAUCACUAAUAUGAUCACCAAACGCAUUUCCGAACGUCUUGAUAACGUAACCAUACGGACGCAUACCCCUGUGAAAUACAGUGGUACCGUUCGACGCGGCUUGAAUCCGCGUACAGAACCGACGUAGAAAUUGAAAAUGGCAGAAAACGUUGUUCCCCGAGAACCCCGUCCAAUAAAAGGGGCAUUGUCGUCGUCGAUUGUAAUGAUUUCGACGGACGUUGUUUAUUCCAAUCAUCGAAUAUUCGAGUAACCGGACGCGUUCCGAGGAAACUUUGCACGCGCGCGCGUUAUUCCGGUCGACGCGCAUAAAAUGUCAACAACACAUUAAACCGCAGUGUCGUUUUUCAAUUGGGUUUGUUUUUUUCUCGCCCCGCCGGCGCCGAUCGGCGGACGUACGAUUACCGAAGAAUUUACCGUUGUAAUCGCGUAAUCGCGAAUAAACUUACAACGUAAUUCGUGUGAAAUACUACGCCGUUUGGCGUUUGUGUGUUCCGAGUGCGGCUCGCAUCGUACGCCGGCGCGUGCGUUUUGCCCACGACGACGGCGCGGCGCGGCGCCGUGGCCGGGAUUUUUUGUUUUUUUUUGCGUUUAACUCUUUGAUAGACUUUAUUGCGCGAAGACGGGCGCACAACACAAACGUCAUCUGCGUCCGCGCGUACGGUAAAAAUAUGACGAUUUUCAACAUAAAUAACGGCCGUAGUGUGGCCAUUUGAACGGGUAAAAACAUCUCUACCCUCGCCCUCGCCACGCCGCCGCCGGCGUAGUGCGAACCUUCGCGGGUUUUAACGGCGGCGCGGGUCAUUGUGAACAUUUCGACGGCGAUAACAGUGCGGGCGUUUUGUGCACGCUCGAUCUCGCAUAGCGUUUAUCGGCUAUCGCACCGACGAUACGUUACGACCGUACGGGCAAUUAUCAUUACACGUUGCACGGUCCGCAGCAGCCGGUACGAUCGCGGAGGAGUGUGGCGUUGCCGGAUCAAUCAUCGAACACCGUUUCGCGUGGACCUUACGCGUUUCUAACGUUUUACGGCGAGUUUUACGCGUCGUAUACAACUACGUAUUAAACGGCGACAGUCGUGAAAAAACACCGAACGCCGGAUGUGUUUCGUACGCAGCGAGCGCGGAAAUAACCGAAACAACAAUAAUCGUUCCCGUUUAAAGCACACUAUACGCGUCCGCAUAUUAUCACGGAUGAAAACAGAUCCAUCGCAUGCGCGCGAUAAUAUCAUAACCGCUCGCGGCGAACGUCGAAGCGCGCGAGCCACGGUACCGAAUCCAACGUAAACGCGCGUAUUGGUAUUGUUUUCAAACCCGCCGAACUACCCGGACUACACGCUAAUAAAAUAUAAUGUUGUGCGGGAAAAAAAAUACUCUGUUCACCGAGCGGAGGACGUCGCGUACGCGCGUCACGGUGCGCGUACGGUUUUGACGAAUCGCAUUUCGGAUAGUAUUAUUGAUUAACGAGCGCGCCGAGAUGCCGGCCAAUCGACGCGCGGUGUGCCCGCCAAAUUAAAUACUAUGACCAUAAGGAAUACCCGUGACGUGUAAUGAUACCUAUUUACCAGACCUACCGUUACAGUAGUCAGCCGCCCGAAAAAUACGAAACAAACCGCGUGCGGGCGUUUCGGCCGACGGUGAUUAAUAUUCACGUGUACGACGCGAUCGAAUAUCGCGCGAUAAAAAUCGCACGGGUCGGACACGCUUCGCGCGCCGCCGCGGGCCGGUGGCGGGUAUCUGCGGUAAGAGGAGCGGGGCGAUUGAUAAAAUACUCCCCCCCCCUCCCCCUCCGCAAUCUCGGAGUUUUCGUCGUUCAACGUUAGUGCCCCGCGUUGCCGUUGCACAACAUAACGGUUUCUGUGGUUUGGUAUUGAAGUUUCAAAAUCGGUGCGUGACCGUUACCGGUACGGGCAGGCCGCCGCGGCAGUCGUCGGCGUGCAGACGACGGGUUUCGGAAGAUUCGGGCUUUUCUACGGGGCCGUUGAGUUUUUCGAAAACGUACGGAACCGGCGGAGUGGGGCGUGUGUUUAGCGACGGUCCGAAUCGCAGCCAUAAGACAAAAAGAAAAACGCCGACAACAAUUAUGCCGCCGACGACGUAACCAUACCACCUUGUCACUUGUUGUCGGCGUUUAUUCUUCUUGUUGUUUAAAUUUCAAGACGAACCGUCCGGACGUCUUUAGAAUUAUUUUUCAAGUGCCGGACGCGAUCGUUUACACGAGCGAGUUUUUCGUGAAUUUUGUUCGACGCGAAAUCGAAUUUCGUAUUGUAAUUUUUCCUAUAAACGGGGCGCGGCGACAACGUCCGGUAUUCGUAAAUGUUUUUAAUUAUUUCGCUUAUUGGACAAUAAAAUAAUUAGUGUUUUUUUUUUUUUUUUUUUUUUUUUUUUAACGCUUAUACGAACCGUGCAUAAACGACAAUGGCGUUGCGUUUUCGGUAAGUACGGUUUUUUUUUUUUGUUUUCACCUCCUGUCCCAAAUAACGAAUACCUACGUAUAAUGUAAUUAGUCGGUCGAAAAGCGGUUAUGCAACUUUACUAUAUCUACGCUGUAACGACUGCAUUGACUGCCACUGCUCCGAAAUCGUUUAGCAAUAAAUCGCUAACGAAUCAGGAAAAUAGUAAUAAUAAUAAUAAAUAAAAAAAACCAUAAUAUUUCAUUACUGAAACGCACGGCAAUCGAAUUGCGUGCGGGAAAUUUGUGCGUUUCGUAUCGUGACUGGUGCCUUCGCAUAAUAUUAUAUUUCACUUAUUCGAUUUUAUUUGCAUAAUAUAAUAUCGAUAGUGUUUGCGGGGAGCUCCGGGACAAAACAAAAUCGAUGAUAAUAAUAUUUUUUAUAACCCAACGUUCCUCCGCCUUGUCGCGGAUUUGCACGUCUUCUAAACAACACGACCGGCAAAUUAUUGGUUAGCCCGCCGUUUUUUUAAGGAGUCGCGUAUAGGCAAUAUCAAUUGGGCAGCUACUAUUAACAGAUUUGUUCAAUUUACACGAGAAUGACACGAAAUAUUUCCAUAAAUUGAACGGACGGCGACGUUGAAAGAUAAACGUUCAAAGGUUCUCGCACGACUAGAAACCGAGGCGAUUCCUGUCUUUUACAUUAUUCAAGUGAAACCCGGCGAGUCGCGGAUUCACGGUUUUGUUUUCGUUUUUUUUUUUUUUUUUGUAAAAUCAUAACGCAAACGAAAACGGAAACGUUUCAUGACGAUCGAAUGGCGUUAAUAAUUAUGGUGUGCUUCAGCAAUCGAGAUUCGGCGUUUUCAUCCGGAAUUGUUUUUUUUUUUUUUUUUAAUCGAGAGGAAUUUCGAUCCGCUCAUUGAAAGACGGUGGAAAAAUUGUUCGGCAAUCGCCAAUCUAAUUCCGUUCAUUAAUUUUCAACAAUACGGUAUUGGGGUAUCAUAGUAAAAUAAUAAUAUUAUCGUCGGUUCUUUCGUCGGCCCCUGGAAAACGGACGCGGAACGCAACCGAACGCGCGUGUACGCGUGCGUGUCGUUCGCCCGUACACGGCGCGGCGGCUGCGUACCGGAUUAAAGUUAUAAACACCGGCGAGCGUGGCGCGCCCUCGCGGCCCAGUCGUCAGGCCCGAACGAAAGUGAACCGCAAACGGUAGGUACACGCGCGCCAAUUUCGACAAUUUCGUCUUCGGUAUUAUUGCGCAACGCUGUCGCUGCAGUAAUAUUUUAAUCACAAAAGUUUAUCGAUUGUAGCGGUCGCGAGCGUCCUUUGCCCCGGGAUAUGGUCCGGAUUUCGUUGUCAAUAGCCAACGAGCGUAAUCGAAAAAACCUUACUGCUAAUCGCGCGGUCUCGGGAUCCGACUACCGGGCCACCCUGUAUAAAAAAUAUUAUCGCGUACUAUACGGGCGUAAUAGGUAUCAUUAUCGUUAUUAUUAUUAACAUUACGAUCGUUGUUUAAGGCCGCGUGCCGGACUUUCGACGCGCGAUAAAUAACGCGGUUUAUACCGCGCGAGAUACAGAUACCACGUGCGUUGUGAGCGGUUAUUACCGUCGACGACGACGACGACGACGUACAAGCCGCGCACGAUCCCCGUCCGGUCAAGGUGGUCGACAUAUUAUUAUUAUUAAUAUUGUUACGUUCUUAUAUUUUUCGGAGACGACCUCGGUGGCGAUCCGGUAUAUAAAACGUACGGGUACAUAGCAGAUACGCGCACACGCGCGAUGGCACGCUCGCGGUCGUUCGCGCAGGGAUCCGAGAGCCGAAAACGCCUCGUCACGAUAAAAUGUGAAAAAAAAGACGUCCGAAUGGGUGUAAAUACCUAGGGGGGAAGGGGAGGGCGAGAAAUAACAAGAAAAGGUCGGCUAGGACCGCGAAAACCAUUAAGAGCGUCGGCGGCGAUGACUCGCGGAAUACGUCCGCAGCGGGAAUUCGGAUCUUUGUUAUUUUGUUACGGAGAUUACGACGGUAAUAUCCGAUCGAUAUCCGCGGGUUACUCGAAAUCCAGAGGAGUUCAUUGAAUUUUAUACAAUAUUACCAGCAAUACGUCAAUACGACGAUUAAUGAAAACAAAAAAAAGCUAAUGUUACCUACGCCACUGUUUUAGAGUGAUUCGAUGCGAGAAUAAACCGUUUCUGACGAAAAACGAUUCUGAGCAGUUUUGUUUUUUUAUCUGUUGCCAAGGUUGACAGGGAGAGAAAGCAACAGAAAUUAUACCAAUAAUUGCCAAUAUUUCAAUAAAAAAAUAAAUAAUUUCUUCAACGAACAAACUAGAUCGAAAAGUGGUUUACACGCAGCAAAAUCACACAUUAUAUAGUUAAACAUCCGUCACUUCACUCAGAAUCUAAAAAUGUUUUGUAAAUUUCGUGUUCACAUAAUAAAAUCGACUGCAUAUACGGAUAAUCGGAUUUGUCUGUUCGUUGUACAUAUAAAAUAAUAUGCGAGAAUAAUUUUCUCUACAACCGAAAUAAUCAAACCGCGAAUUACGCCAAAAAGUGAAGUCGUCCGGUUAUCGCACGAAACCUUUCAAUCAUUGUUUCCGACGAGAAAAAAAUUCAAAAUUCCGCGAAAUGGACUACAUUUUUUUUUUUAACGCGAAAAUAUACAAGUACCGAUGAUUUGGCCAUAUUUUCGGACAUUUAUCGGUAAUCAUUCACAAUUCGCCUCGUUUAUACCAUAUUACAUAAUAAUAAUAAUAAUAAUAAUAUUCCGUUUGAAUAAAACAAUUGAAAUC